rnacentral:rRNA from 1 species
AGUGAACGCUGGCGGCAGGCCUAACACAUGCAAGUCGAACGGCAGCACAGUAAGAGUUUGCUCUUACGGGUGGCGGGUGGCGGACGGGUGAGGAGUACAUCGUGCUCUACUCUUUCGGGGGGGAUAACGUAGGGGAACCUACGAUAAUAUCGCAUAUGCUCUACGGGUGUAAGCAGUGGAUCUUCGGGCCUUGCGCGAUUGAAUGAGCCGCUGUCGGGCUAGCUGGUUGGGGGGGUAAUGGCCCAGCAUGGCGAGGAUCCGUAGCCGGUCUGAGAGGAUGGUCGGCGGCACUGGAGCUGAGACACGGUCCAGACUCCUACGGGAGGGAGCAGUCGCGAAUAGUGGGCAAUGGGCGGGAGCCUGACCCAGCCAUACCGCGUGGGAGAAGAAGGCCUUCGGGUUGUAAAGACCUUUUUUGGGGUAAGAAAAGCUGUAGGUUAAGACCCCGCGGGUGUGACGGUACCCAAUGAAGAAGCACCGGCUAACUACGUG